AGUGAACGCUGGCGAUAGGCCUAACACAUGCAAGUCGAACGGCAGCACAGUAAGAGCUUGCUCUUACGGGUGGCGAGUGGCGGACGGGUGAGGAAUACAUCGGAAUCUACUUUUUCGUGGGGGAUAACGUAGGGAAACUUACGCUAAUACCGCAUACGACCUACGGGUGAAAGCAGGGGAUCUUCGGACCUUGCGCGAUUGAAUGAGCCGAUGUCGGAUUAGCUAGUUGGGGGGGUACAGGCCCACCAAGGCGACGAUCCGUAGCUGGUCUGAGAGGAUGAUCAGCCACACUGGAACUGAGACACGGUCCAGACUCCUACGGGAGGCAGCAGUGGGGAAUAUUGGACAAUGGGCGCAAGCCUGAUCCAGCCAUACCGCGUGGGUGAAGAAGGCCUUCGGGUUGUAAAGCCCUUUUGUUGGGAAAGAAAAGCAGCAGGUUAAUACCCCGCUGUUCUGACGGUACCCAAAGAAUAAGCACCGGCUAACUUCGUG
rnacentral:rRNA from 1 species